UACGAAGGGGGGCUAGCGUUGCUCGGAAUCACUGGGCGUAAAGGGUGCGUAGGCGGGUUUUUAAGUCAGAGGUGAAAUCCUGGAGCUCAACUCCAGAACUGCCUUUGAUACUGAAGAUCUUGAGUCCGGAAGAGGUGAGUGGAACUGCGAGUGUAGAGGUGAAAUUCGUAGAUAUUCGCAAGAACACCAGUGGCGAAGGCGGCUCACUGGUCCGGUACUGACGCUGAGGCACGAAAGCGUGGGGAGCAAACAGG
rnacentral:rRNA from 1 species